UCUUAAAAAAAAAAAAAAAAAAAAAAGAAACGAUCCUUUGAACUAUGUUUUUUUUUUUGCGUUUCUGCAGUCAGGAGAAUACUCAUCGCUCGCUCCAUGGGUAAAGGAGCGUUCCAACAGCUUGAAUAAGCAUAGGGGGACCAUUAAAACCAGCUGGAUAUCCCAGAAGUGUCACACUUUUAAAGUACCUGGCGUAGAGCAUGGAAAGAUAUUUUAGUUCCUGUCGUGGGAAAAUGGAAAGGCAGAAGUAGGUCUAGCUUUCCUCGGUCGGUCUCGUGGCUUUUGUUAUGAGACAACAGCACUACCAACAUAUUGGUAUAGGUCUAAAAAGGUCCAACAAUACAGCAGAAGGCAAAAAACAGUCUUGGAGGGCCGAAAAGUGAUCGAUCGUUCAUCCAAUGUUCAGACAUCACUCCGGUGAUGCAGAAGACCCACUUCAGCCAUGUCUGUCGACUCCAAUAUGUAAUCCUGUGGGAGCUGCCAAAUGUCUGGCCUGCUGAAAGCCUGCUUCUGUUGCCUGAGGGUGCUUGUCAAUAUGACCCUGCUGCUGCAUGCAUGAGAUUUACAACAUGUUACAUUCUGCAUGAAAUUAUCAUUCACCGAUCUGGUGGUUAAUUGUUCCAAAAUGAUAAUGCAGCUACCUCCAGAGGGACUGCCACAAGUGCCAAUAGUGUAUGUGACCAGCUGGCAACAUUGGUAUGGGACCGUAUACAGCAGGCUUGUGCACAGUACAUAACUGUGCAGGCAAACAGAUGGCAUAUAGUCCAGAACAUUGGACCAAGACAUUCAGGUCCAGGAAUCCCAGGAUCAGCUAGACCACAAGCCUUCCAGGUCAGAAAAUAUUCCCCACCUUCCUCUGUCAUUUGGAGGAAAUCAUCACAGGAUCGUGGUGGUGGCUUUGGCCCUGUAGGUCCUUUAGUGUGACCAAGCAUAAAAAGUAGCGUUGAGAAUGAGCUUCAAGACCUGGUCAACGAUGUGUUUGAGCAGGCAGUAGAGAAACACUUUCAGCCCUCAAAGUACCUCUCUUCAGUGAAUGGAAGACUAGCUGCCCUGGUCAACUCUGACCACUGAGCCACCAAUGGCCUCCUCACACCAAUGUCAUCUGGGUCUUCCACUCUAAGUCCAUCAGGCAGUAGAAACAUUUGAGGCCCUUUGAACCAAGGUGAGAACUACUCCAACACUUCCGCAUCUCCCUUCUUCCCUAUUUCUUUCACCAACUUCUCUCUUUUUUUUUUUUUUUCUUUUUUUUAAUACAUGCCAAGUAACUGCUCUAAGUGCUGUUUGCCUUAUUUGUUCACUAUUAGUUAAUUUGGGCUUUUGCAGUCCUGCACUCAUCCCCAACUUCCAAAUAUAGACGAGCUUAAUCUAGACUUUACACAUUAACGGAUGAAUUCACACACAAUUAAAACAUUUUUAUCCAUUUUGUGGACUUGUAAAAAGUGGAUGUUUCUUCAUGCAAGCUUUCACUUUGCCUUAGUCACCUUAGUGAGAUAGCACUCCAUAUAUUUGCAUAACGGCAUAGCUGCACUCUGCUCAGAUAUGCGUUGCACAGCUGUGAACCAUGAGAUUAUGAAUAUCACCUAUAAGUACAAACAGGUGACCAUAUAAUGCUCAUUCUGUUAGUCCCAACAUUCAUGUAAACCUCCCAUGCCAUGAUGAGAAUCUGUAUGUCCAAGACUUGAUGUUUAAAGAUGACAGAGUUCUUGUACUUAACUUUUAUAAAUUAA